rnacentral:rRNA from 1 species
GACGAACGCUGGCGGCGUGCUUAACACAUGCAAGUCGAACGGUAAGGCCCCAGCUUGCUGGGGUACACGAUUGGCGAACGGGGGAGUAACACGUGGGUGACCUGCCCCUCACUUCGUGAUAUGCCUGGGAAACUGGGUCUAAUACCGGAUAUGACCGCACCGAGAGGGUGGGGUGGAAAGUAUUGCGGUGUGGGAUGGGCCCGCGGCCUAUCGGCUUGUUGGUGGGGUAAUGGCCUACCAUGGCGGCGACGGGUAGCCGGCCUGAGAGGGAGGACGGCCACAUUGGGACUGAGACACGGCCCAGACUCCUACGGGAGGCAGCAGUGGGGAAUAUGACACAAUGGGCGGAAGCCUGAUGCAGCGACGCCGCGUGGGGGAUGACGGCCUUCGGGUUGUAAACUCCUUUCACCAUCGACGAAGGUUUUCUGACGGUAGAUGGAGAAGAAGCCCCGGCUAACUACGUG